rnacentral:rRNA from 1 species
UCGAACGAUGAAGCGGUGCUUGCACCGUGGAUUAGUGGCGAACGGGUGAGUAAUACGUGAGUGACCUACCUUUGACUCUGGGAUAAGCCUGGGAAACUGGGUCUAAUACCGGAUACGACCAAUCUCUGCAUGGGGUGUUGGUGGAAAGCGUUAUGGAGUGGUUUUAGAUGGGCUCACGGCCUAUCAGCUUGUUGGUGAGGUAAUGGCUUACCAAGGCGACGACGGGUAGCCGGCCUGAGAGGGUGACCGGCCACACUGGGACUGAGACACGGCCCAGACUCCUACGGGAGGCAGCAGUGGGGAAUAUUGCACAAUGGGCGCAAGCCUGAUGCAGCGACGCCGCGUGAGGGAUGACGGCCUUCGGGUUGUAAACCUCUGUUAGCAUCGAAGAAGCGAAAGUGACGGUAGGUGCAGAGAAAGCGCCGGCUAACUACGUGCCAGCAGCCGCGGUAAUACGUAGGGCGCGAGCGUUGUCCGGAAUUAUUGGGCGUAAAGAGCUUGUAGGCGGUUGGUCGCGUCUGCUGUGAAAGGCCGGGGCUUAACUCCGGUUUUGCAGUGGGUACGGGCUAACUAGAGUGCAGUAGGGGAGACUGGAAUUCCUGGUGUAGCGGUGGAAUGCACAGAUAUCAGGAGGAACACCGAUGGCGAAGGCAGGUCUCUGGGCUGUAACUGACGCUGAGAAGCGAAAGCAUGGGGAGCGAACAGGAUU